GAAUAAAAAAUCCUCCGAGCGAUUUUAAAGACCAGACCCACAAGUCAAAUCGAACUAUCGCUCAUUGAUCCAAAAACUUGAUCAACGGAACA
rnacentral:rRNA from 1 species